ensembl:lncRNA
CGUCACACGGCUCACUUUUUCUUACCGGACUUUUCCGAGCGCUUAGAGUCCGACUUCCCUCCCCGCUCCGAUCGCUCGCCCUUCUCCUUCUCCUUCUCCGUCUCGUUUUCCGCCGGCUCGAUCCGGUCGCCGCGGUCCGAGCGCUCACCGCCUCGCUCUGACCGGUUUUCCGCCUUGCUGCCGUCUUGCCGCGUGCCCUCGUCGGUGGAUGAGGUAGUUGGUUGGGGCUGCCCCCAUUUGGCGAUGUCCUCGUGCUCCGUGAUGCUGCCGGUGAUGUUGCCCACCCAAACCUUCAGGUCCUCCUGUGGAUUAAGAGACGGAUCACGGACCUUUCUUUGCUCGUUUCAGCGAUUCAAUUCUUUCAACAAUGCGUGAUGACAAAAUAAAAGUUGCUAUUUGGAGAUGUAAUGAGAACGACCCCCACCUCGUCUUUUGCGUGGAACAAAAACUCACUGCCGUCCUUCGUUCUGUAAUAGGAGAGAAAUUGAUCUUAGGAACAGUGGAGUGCGAAACACGUUGAGACACUGAAGCAGCAGACGCUUCACAUCAGCCCGCCGUACCUAAACUGUUUGGAUGGAUUAAAUGGGUUUUAAACAUGUAGAGUUUAGAGGAUUCUAUUAGCUUUUAUGGAACGUUGUUUUCUUUUUGGAAUAAUCAUCCGAGAAAAAUAUUUGUGUUUUGGUUAGCUUUAAAACCAGCCCUUCAUAUCUACGAAGGUAGGAGAGUCCACUCCAAGGCGAAAGACGGCCUCUGAGCGCUCGCUGUACGCAGUGCGGAGCCAGCUGAAGGUGUGACUUGACCCGAGGUGAAAAUGAUGAGUUAAACUCGACCCAACUGCCCCACCUGGACUUGUUACGAUUAAAUGAACUGAUCACACUGACUUUGUGUUGAAUCUGUCACAAAUCUUGUGAAACCUACUAAGAAUGUUAUAUUCAACCCAGGGAGCACGAAAACAGCCUCUCACUUGAGGGUGAACACGUUCUUCUUCUUCUUGUAGCCGUUGGUGACGUCGCAGUGGCAGUGGGAGAGGU